rnacentral:misc_RNA from 1 species
CGUAAAAGCAAACCAGUUAUAAAGGAACAGUGAGCUCACAGCCGGACCCAACUUCAACGGUGGACGGAGAGGAAGAAGAAGAGAGCCAUGGGCGUCGACUACUAUAAAAUUUUACAGGUAGACCGGAAUGCAAAAGACGAUGAUUUGAAGAAAGCUUACCGUAAACUUGCUAUGAAAUGGCAUCCCGAUAAGAACCCUAAGAACAAGAAGGAAGCUGAGGCCAAGUUCAAGCAAAUCUCCGAAGCCUAUGAUGUCUUGAGCGAUCCGCAAAAGCGGGCUGUUUAUGAUCAGUAUGGAGAGGAGGGUUUGAAGGGGCAGGUGCCGCCUCCUCCGGGUGCAGCGGGUUUUGGAGCCGAAGGGGGCUCCACGACGUUCAGGUUCAAUCCUCGGAGUGCGGACGAUAUAUUCUCUGAGAUUUUUGGGUUUUCGAGUCCGUUUGGAGGGAUGGGUGAUAUGGGUGGCGUCUCACGCGCCAGCACGUCAGGAUUUCCGAGAGGUAUGUUUGGGGAAGAUAUCUUCUCCUCAUUUAGGAGCGCAGCCGGAGAGAGCUCUAAUAUUCCCCGUAAAGGGGCUGCCAUAGAACGGACAUUGCCGUGUAGUUUGGAAGAUCUGUAUAAGGGAACUACUAAGAAGAUGAAGAUUUCGAGGGAUGUUACUGAUCCUACUGGGUAAGCUUGUUAGUUGUUUCUCAACCAAGCUUUUUAUAGUUUGGGGGAGGUUAAAUGCAUUUUGGGUUUGAGAAUUUCAUGACUUUGUUGAAAAUACCUUGGCUUUAAAUUCUAAAUGUAAGAAGUUAUCUUAUCCCACAUUAACCAUACCUUCUUGACGUGAAUUUUCACGACUAAGCUUAGGGAUUAACUCAUUCAUUACUUUUAUCCAGACGGCAUUGUGUGACUAGGCUGAACACAAGGGUCUAAGGUGCUGAAUCCAUGGGCCUAGUCAUGUGUUCAGUACAUGGAAGGUGAAUGCAUACAAUCAAUGUGGCUUGUAGCCUUAAGAUUUUGCUGAGUCGCAUGAUUGCUCCUGCACCUGCACUCUUACAUCUGUACAACAUGGGAUAUGAACUUAGUGAAAUUCCUAGUUAAAACUAUUGUUGUACUGUCUGGACCAUUGCCCACAAAGAUGCCUUAAUAUGAGACUUUGUGAGACUGGGAUCUUAGUAGAUAAUAAUUGCAAUCUCGCUUUGUAAAAUUUAGUUCCUUUUGUGGUUUAUCUCAUCAAUUUUAAUUAUUUAAUUUAUAGUUGCUGUGCAUGUAAGAAUUUCAAUUGAAAUCAGGUAGAUAUGGUAUUAUAUGUUGUGAUGUUUUUGAGUCCGGUUACCAGGUCUUAUCUUACAAAUGCCAUAGAAGAUGUAUUGAACUUUGGAUGGUUGAUGAUUGAUGAUUGACAUUUGACAUAAUAGCAAUACUUGAAAAUCCUUGAGCAGAAUAUGGGAGCUACAAAUCUUUCCUUUUCAAUAUCCAUCCAUGUGUAACUAAUGGUUUGGAGUACCAUGGGAUGUAGGGAUAAAUGUUUUUAGUUUUAACUUUCUGAUGCAGGAGCAAAAAUUUAGAAUUAUUUCUAUUCACUUUACUUUCUUGUUUUUUCUCCUUCGUGCAUCACUUUCCUUUUUGCUUGUUGUAUAGGGAUCCUAUCUUUACAAGUAUUUGUAAUGGUUGUUAUUCCAUUGAGCAAUGCUGGCAGCUACAUAUAUAAUUGUUUUUAAAAUUCUAGAUCGAUUUUCUUCUCUGUUUACCAGCCCAAAUCAGCUGAAAUAUGUUCCAACUUGUUUUAUUCUAAGGGAUGAUGGAUGCCUCUUAUUUCUGGAAAGAAAGUGACCUUUAUUCACUUAGAAGCGUACUUUAUUUAUUUAUAUUGAGUAGCUUAUGUGAAUAUUAUUAGGAUUAACUUACAUUAAUCCUUAAUAUUUUGGUUAUAGUUUGGCAUGCCUGAAGAGUCGAUGGUGCUAGUAAUGAUAGCCAUCAUUUGUUUCUUUGAAUGUAUCAUGCUAGUCAUGGUUUGCAAUUCAACUAUUUGGAAAACUUGCAGAAUUGCUGGAUAUUUUUUUUUCUAUGGGAGAAGGGUCUUGGUUUGGAUCAAGACCCUCACCUACAGUUACCCUUUUUGUUGGUGUACAAAUUUAACUAAUCUUAAUGGAUGAAUUGUAGGAUGUAUGGAUCAUGGUCUAGUUCAUCUUUGUAUGAGAGAUUUUGAAUUGGGAUGAAAUUAUCUGCUGAUAGUAUGAAAUAUUUUGUGGCAUGGUAGUGCCUUGUGUUAAUUCACAGUGAGGUUGAGUUAGUUUUCCUACCUUUUGGGCCUUCAGAUAUCUUUUCUUUGAAUCUGUAUUGUAGUUGAAUCAUUAUUUUCCUUAGGUUUGUUGGGUUAUUAUAGUAGUCAAUGGAAGGACCAUUGAGGUCGGUUAGGGAACGCUAACAUGAAAUCUUCUCUUGGUCCUGGUUGGCACUACACAACAAUUGAAAGCAUAUUACUUUUCAUGCUUUUGUUUGUAAUUCACAAGAAUAUUUGUGUUUGUUGGAUGGAAGUUGGAGAAAGAUUAGUUCCUACUAGUCAAUGGAAUGACGAUUGAGGUCUUUUAGGUGAAUAUCUAACAUGAAAUCUUAUCUUGCUCCUAGAUGAUACUGCACAACAAUGUGAAGCAUAUUUUCUUUUUCAAGCUGUUAGUUAUAUGUAAGGAUAUUUGUAUGCAAAACACAUUGCUUUAUUUAACCUUUCAUUUGUAAAUCCUAAUACACGAGGAUAGUUUUCUUAAAAGAUUAUACAUUCUUUUGUAGUUUCAAGACUUGCAUGUAAGAAAAGAGAAAGGACAAUUCUUAAGGGGUUUAGAUUUUCUUGGUGAAUUGGGUACUUGGAGGUGUAAGUAAUAUUAGGAUGCCUUUCUUGAAUUCAAAUUUCAAUGUUUGACAUUGGUUCUAAUUUCAUCUUUUAUGCCAAAUUCCCAACUAUACAUUUCCUUUUAGAUGUUUAUAACUGUCAAAAUCACAUCUGCCAAGAUAUCAUUACCUUUCUAUCUACGUAUACAUUUUUCCUUUGGUUCCUUGUACUGUCAUUAAAUGCUAGGCAUAGGUGGAACACAACUGUGACCAAACAGGUUCUAUGCGUUGAGUGAACCCUGUUAUAGUUCUUGUGGUUGUAUUGUUGGCUUUACCAUCUCUCUGAUGAAGAUUUGGAUUCAUCCAGCUUGUGGUAAUCAUAGUCACAGGCAUUCAUGGAGUUUCUUUGUUGUGGAGCAUGAUAUCCUGCUUUUUUAUUGCACUAACUCACUUGAAUGCACAUAAUGCCUUUUUUUUUCCUUGUUUGCUGGUAAUUCAACAGCUAAAUGGAAUAAUUUUCCUCUUAUUGAGUGAUAAGAUACUGGAGCUACUACAUUAAGAUAUGUUGAGGAGCUAUGAUCGUCAAUUGGUUCAAUCAAGUUGGAUGCCUAAUUAAUCAAAAGUUUAAUAUUUAAUACUUCUAUUGAUAUUUUGGUUUUUUGUGAAUCCACAACUGUUUGAACCGCUGUCCCUACUAGGUAUAAGAAUGAUGUGUGCAUGGAUUUUUUUGUUUAACUUAUUUUUUGUUUCAGUUUUUUACUUUUCGGCAAUUAAUUCUGCAUCUUUCUUUUGCUCAUAUUGCCAGUAGGAAAUUACAUCUUACAUGAUAGCAUAAUAGAAUAGCAAGGUAUUAGAAUAGAAAAACAAGUGGAUUAGUGGUCCCAAUAGCAAGACUCAGGCUGGUUGGAUGCAUACUGAAAGUCUUAUUUGUUCAACUGUGAGAUUUAAUCUUUUCCCCCUUUUUUAUUCACAUAGGAGACCAACCACUGGGGAAGAAAUUCUUACAAUUGAGAUCAAGCCUGGUUGGAAGAAAGGGACAAAAAUAACUUUUCCGGAGAAGGGAAAUGAGCAACGAGGUGUUAUACCUUCUGACCUUGUCUUCAUCAUUGAUGAGAAGCCUCACAGUGUCUUCAAGAGGGAUGGGAAUGAUCUUAUAAUUACCCAGAAGGUAUCUCUUGUAGAAGCUCUAACUGGUUACACAGCGCAGGUAAUGACCCUCGAUGGACGGAAUUUGACAAUCUCCAUUAACUCUAUUAUUAGUCCAACCUAUGAAGAAGUUGUUAAAGGGGAAGGGAUGCCAAUUCCCAAGGAGCCUAACAAAAAAGGGAACUUGAGGAUUAAGUUUCACAUAAAGUUCCCUAGCAAGCUUACUGCCGAGCAGAAAACAGGGAUCAAGCGGUUAUUAUCAUAAAACAGUGACAGUGGCUCUCCCAACUACUACCAUCUCCCAAAUCUGUGUAAGCUUGCAUUUAUGUUCUUUGCUAGUCUAAUCCAGGAAGAAAAUUUGCGUUGCUGAAUUGGGGUUUUCACUAUAACAGUUAUUUAGGAGUUGAAUAUUGUUUUCCUACGUUUCAUUUUUCUCAUUCUUUACCAGUCUAGUGCGAGUGUUAAUUUUUGCCAAAACUCCCAUGAUGCAGUAUGCUCAUACUGCUGCUGGAAUCACCAAAUUUAUUUUACCCUUCUGCUUUGAGGUCCCCUUUCCCCGUUGGCAACCAGCCAGCCACUAAACUGCUUGCCAAUUGAUGGCUGAAUUUAUGAACGUAUCUGCCAUGAAGGACCCAUUCUUAUUUGUGUUCUUACUUGUGAUGGUUUUGAUAAUACAAUUUAGGCUUUUCUUUAUUUGGGACAAUAAUUUAUUUAUGAAAGUUAUU